ACUCAAAUGAAUUGACGGGGGCCCGCACAAGCGGUGGAUCAUGUGGUUUAAUUCGAAGCAACGCGAAGAACCUUACCUGGGUUUGACAUCCUCUGACAUCCGUAGAGAUACGGCUUUAGUAGCAAUACUACAGAGUGACAGGUGCUGCAUGGCUGUCGUCAGCUCGUGUGGUGACAUGUUGGGUUAAGUCCCGCAACGAGCGCAACCCUUGUCUCUAGUUGCCAGCAUUAAGUUGGGCUCUCUAGAGAGACUGCCGUGGUUAACACGGAGGAAGGUGGGGAUGACGUCAAGUCCUCAUGGCCUUUAUAUCCAGGGCGACACACGUGAUACAAUGGACGGUACAGAGGGAAGCCAAGGCGCGAGCCGGAGCCAAUCUCAAAAAGCCGUUCUCAGUUCGGAUUGGAGUCUGCAACUCGACUCCAUGAAGUUGGAAUCGCUAGUAAUCGCGGAUCAGCACGCCGCGGUGAAUACGUUCCCGGGCCUUGUACACACCGCCCGU
rnacentral:rRNA from 1 species